GCGGAUAUGGUUGAAUGGUAAAAUGUCUCCUUGCCAAGGAAAAGAUGCGGGUUCGAUUCCCGCUAUUCGCC
rnacentral:tRNA from 4 species